AAACGAAGAAGAAGAAGAAGAAGAAGAAGAAGAAUCUAGCUCAGUGAAAUAUUAGUUUUAGGUGUAGGAAGUGGUCCAACAACAAUCGUGUAGGGUAACAUCGUAAAUCGUGCGAAAGCGCAGGAGAGAUUCGAAUAAACAAACACAAAGUAGCAGAAGCAAAAAGGUAAACAAAGAGGAAAAAAAAAGAGAAAAAAAAAAUCUCUGGCGAUUCCAGAAACAACAAAUUUUCUAUAGUUACUGUUGAAUCGAAAAAAAAGAAAUAUAAUAUAAUCAUCUACCUCAAUUAUCGGCGGAACAGAGGAUUUUCUCAGCUCUUUCCCUUUGAUACUCUCUGGCUGCUGAAUUAUUUUCCGUCACUUUCUCGAGAAAAUAGAGGAGGAACGAGAGGAGAUAGAGAGAGAGCUCUAUAGGAAACUUCCUCGAAGGAGCUUUGACUCGUCAGUCGUCACUCGGGGGCUUCCUCGUGAUACUAUU
rnacentral:sRNA from 1 species